GAUGAACGCUGGCGGCGUGCCUAAUACAUGCAAGUCGAGCGAACGGACGAGAAGCUGGCUUCUCUGAUGUUAGAGGCGGACGGGUGAGUAACACGUGGAUAACCUGCCUAUAAGAUUGGGAUAACUUCGUGAAACCGGAGCUAAUACCGGAUAAUAUUUUGAACCGCAGGGUUGAAAAGUUAAAGACGGUCUGGCUGGCACUGAUACAUGUAUCCGCGCUGCAUUCGCUAGUUGGUAAGGUAACGGCUUACCAAGGCAACGAUGCAAAGCCGACCUGAGAGGGUGAUCGGCCACACUGGAACUGAGACACGGUCCAGACUCCUACGGGAGGCAGCAGUAGGGAAUCUUCCGCAAUGGGCGAAAGCCUGACGGAGCAACGCCGCGUGAGUGAUGAAGGUCUUCGGAUCGUAAAACUCUGUUAUUAGGGAAGAACAUAUGUGUAAGUAACUGUGCACAUCUUGACGGUACCUAAUCAGAAAGCCACGGCUAACUACGUG
rnacentral:rRNA from 1 species